rnacentral:rRNA from 1 species
UACGUAGGGGGCAAGCGUUGUCCGGAAUCAUUGGGCGUAAAGAGCGUGUAGGCGGCCAGAAAAGUCCGCUGUGAAAACUCGAGGCUCAACUUCGAGCUGUCGGUGGAAACUUUCUGGCUAGAGUCCGGAAGAGGAGAAUGGAAUUCCUGGUGUAGCGGUGAAAUGCGCGGAUAUCAGGAGGAACACCGAUGGCGAAGGCAGGUCUCUGGGCAUUAACUGACGCUGAGGAGCGAAAGCAUGGGGAGCGAACAGG